UACAGAGGGGGCAAGCGUUGUUCGGAAUUACUGGGCGUAAAGGGCGCGUAGGCGGCCGCCUAAGUCGGACGUGAAAUCCCUCGGCUCAACCGGGGAACUGCGUCCGAUACUGGCGGGCUUGAAUUCGGGAGAGGGAUGUGGAAUUCCAGGUGUAGCGGUGAAAUGCGUAGAUAUCUGGAGGAACACCGGUGGCGAAGGCGGCAUCCUGGACCGACAUUGACGCUGAGGCGCGAAAGCCAGGGGAGCAAACGGG
rnacentral:rRNA from 1 species